CUUCUAAAAACGAGUAAUCUUACCAACUUAUUUACUCAGUAUUUUUUUAAUAAAUUUUUCCAGCCCUUAGAUCAUUUUAUUAUCAGCAACAGCAAAAUAAAAGGUCAAGAGGCUCAGUUCUAAAACAAAACCAAAAAAGAUUGGGCCCAAAAAAAGAUCCGAUCCAAAAAAAAAGAGUAAAACGAAUUAUUUCAUAAAAGAAUACAUAUAUAUUCCAUUUGUCUUAAAGAGUACAAAGUACUCUUUCUCUCAUCUUGUCGCCACCUUGCUAGUUGAAACAUGUUGUCGGAGUGUUGCCGAUAAAACUUGCAACUGAAGUUCUUCCUUCUCUGGGUUGUUUUCAAGCUUGAGCCUAAGAUAGUGAUUAUUGAGCUAAAUCUAUCCUAUUCAAUAUUACAUAAUGAGAUUCUUUCUAUACAUUUCUUUCUAUUUUCUUUUUCUUUCACUGAUCCCCAGCUAACAAUAUCGUAGGUGGUCGGGGUUUAACCUCAAGGAACCGUAAAAGAUACAUUGUUUCAAUCAGAUCUCGAGAUACCAGUGGAAUUGAGAGUGUGGCAGGCUCAAUUCUUCUGCAUCUUCAACUGGUGAUUCAUGACAGUGCAACACCCCAAUAUUUUUCCUUUUUGGUGAAGGUUUUUGAUAGCUAAAGCUUUUUAGCCUUAGCUUUUAAUUGCACAAUUAUAAUAUCUUCUUUCGGAUAUUCUCUUCCUUUUUUCAUGUUGUGUUGAUAAUUUUGGAUGACUAUAGUUAUGUAAAUAUUGCUGGUA